rnacentral:lncRNA from 1 species
CAGGGAUUUGACGGACAGCAACAGCUGGGGAGGUGUAGGCCGGUCGACGACUCCCCCCCUCUUCGCUUUAGUCCUAACGCGUUCAUUAAAACCCUCCUCUUGUUUAGAGCGGCAGAAUCGGGGCCUGGAGUCUCAGGACCGAAGAAGCCACGGGCUGGAUGCUCUUAAAAAGUCAGGACUCAUGCCUACAGCACCACCAAGUUUUCCUGGGUCACAGGAGAGUUUUCUCGGUUAUUCCAGCUUUUUUUCUGGAGAGGCUGACUUGACCUGUAUUUCCUCGGUUUCCUUACAAACAUUCUCUAUAGGCAAAGGGUGGCGACUACCGCUGGCAGUCCUAGUUUGGGUAGCACCCGGAAGAGAGUCUCCUCCAGCUGGUGUCGACUCAGGGCGUCCCACCAAGCCCUGCCCUUUGAAGGAGACCUGGAAAAGGCCGACAUUGUUCUUACCUUGGAAACCCAAUACCUUGUUGUCAUUUUGAAUUAAGACUAAAAUCCCCAGGCCAAUUCUUAUAGAAUGAUGUGCACUAAUUGAUUUAUGCAGAGGGCUGUAAAAACACUUUGAUGAAGUAGGUAGAAACGAAAUCCGGGGAAGGCAGAUAGCGCAGGGACACGGGGGGAUGCAGCUGCCACAGAGGGAACUGGUCAAAACCGGCCUUAAAUAAGUGUCUUCUACCAUCAAGGUGGCCCUCUGUCUUGUGGUGACAUGCAUGGCUGGCCCCUUUGCAGUGGCUGUCUUCAUCCCAGCCAUCCUAAUAGAGCUGCAUCGCCAGCAGGUGGUCACACACGCAGAAUUGUGAGGGGUGUGGAACAGAGGCUGUGGGCUUUGGCCUCAGGCAGCUAUGGGCCCUUGACUCCCGAGAGUAAGCUACUUAAGCUUGAAACUUUAUUUUGCUCAUUUGUAAAAUGGGUUUAGGAGACCAACAGCAAGCAGUUAACAGCUGUUGAAUUGAAUGCAACUACUUGGGAGAUUAUAGGUUAACUCAGUAAACCUCUGGUUCAUAGUAGGUGCUUAAUAAUUGCGGCUACUGUCACUAGGUCUACAAUUGUGAAAGUGAGUUCAGAAUUGCAUGUAAUUAGUGUCACGUAACCUCUGAAUAUCCUUAGCUUCAAUGACUAAUGACAACUGAACUUUUAAAAUAUUGCAAAGACG